ensembl:snoRNA
UGCUUUUUGUAAUUCUUAAGUGUGAUGAUUGGGUUUCCACACUCAAACCUGAGUGUGAACCCUUUUACAACAGCAGCACAUUAUGAGUCUGAUG